UCCCAGAAGAAAUAGACAUCACAGGCAGAGGUCAGCGUGCUGGGUAUCCAUCCUGCAGGCAACCAUGCAGCUGCUGUGGUCCCUCCUCUGCCUUCUGAGAGCUCCCCUGGGUGUCCUGUCUCAACUUACACUUCAGGAGUCGGGCCCAGGACUCGUGAAGCCCUCACAGACACUCUCUCUCACAUGUGUUGUCUCCGGGGGCUCUGUCACCAGCACUUAUUAUUGGCACUGGAUCCACCAGCACCCUGGAAAAGCACUGGAGUGGAUGGGCUACUAGUACAAGCUACAACCUGGAUUUCCAAGGCCGCAUCUCCAUCACUGCUGACACAUCCAAUAAACAGUUCUCCCUGCAGCUGAGUUCCGUGACCACCGAGGACACAGCCGUGUAUUACUGUGCUAGAGGCACACUGAGGAGAAAUCAUU